rnacentral:rRNA from 1 species
GAUGAACGCUAGCGGCAGGCUUAACACAUGCAAGUCGAGGGGCAGCACGGGUAGCAAUACCUGGUGGCGACCGGCGCAAGGGUGCGUAACGCGUGAGCAACAUGCCCUAUACAGGGGGAUAAUCCAGGGAAACUUGGUCUAAUAUCCCAUAGUAUUUAGAGGAGGCAUCUUCUAUAAAUUAAAGCUUCGGUGGUAUAGGAUUGGCUCGCGUGACAUUAGCUAGAUGGUGAGGUAACGGCUCACCAUGGCAAUGAUGUCUAGGGGUUCUGAGAGGAAGGCCCCCCACACUGGGACUGAGACACGGCCCAGACUCCUACGGGAGGCAGCAGUGAGGAAUAUUGGACAAUGGAUGGAAAUCUGAUCCAGCCAUGCCGCGUGCAGGAAGACAGCCCUAAUGGGUUGUAAACUGCUUUUAUAUGGGAGCAAUAAGGUCUACGUGUAGACUGAUGAGAGUACCAUAUGAAUAAGC